rnacentral:rRNA from 1 species
AACGCGAAGAACCUUACCCGGGCUUGAACUACGGAUGGUAAGUCCCAAGAAACUGGGGCUGACCCGCAAGGGAGUCCGCAGAGGUGCUGCAUGGUUGUCGUCAGCUCGUGUCGUGAGAUGUUGGGUUAAGUCCCGCAACGAGCGCAACCCCUACUCGAUGUUGCUAAUCCCGCAAGGGAUGCACUCUUCGAGAACUGCCUUCGAUAAGAAGGAGGAAGGUGGGGACGACGUCAAAUCCUCAUGGCCCUUAUGUCCGGGGCUACACACGUGUUACAAUGGCCGGUACAAUGGGAAGCAAUACCGUAAGGUGGAGCCAAACCCACAAAGCCGGCCCCAGUUCAGAUUGUGGGCUGCAACUCGCCCACAUGAAGGCGGAAUCGCUAGUAAUCGCUGAUCAGCAGGCAGCGGUGAAUACGUUCCCGGGCCUUGUA